rnacentral:rRNA from 1 species
GACGAACCGUGCGAACGUUAUUCGGAAUCACUGGGCUUAAAGGGCGCGUAGGCGGGCGGCCAAGUCAGAGGUGAAAGCCUCCAGCUCAACUGGAGAAGUGCCUUUGAUACUGGUCGCCUCGAGGGAGAUAGGGGCGUGCGGAACUUCCGGUGGAGCGGUGAAAUGCGUAGAUAUCGGAAGGAACACCGGUGGCGAAAGCGGCGCGCUGGAUCUCUUCUGACGCUGAGGCGCGAAAGCCAGGGGAG